CCUCUUCUUAUUCAGUUCCGGAUGUUCUAUAAAGGAUCAGCUGUUAAGGGAACUGCAUUAAUUGACAGAAGGCUUCCUCCUGGAACUAUUCUUAUACGGCCAUCAAUGAUAAAAAUAAAAUCUGAUCCAAAAUUAUGUGGUGUACAGUCCGUUAACUCUUGGGAAUUGAUAAAAAUGAAAGCUGAUCCAAAAUCAUAUUGUGUCCAGUCCGUCAACUCUUUGGAAAUAGUGACAACGAGCACUAAACCAAAAAGGACAUUAACAUCAAAGCUCUUGAUUGCACUACUUCGCUAUGGAGGAGUUAAAGAAGAGUUCUUUAUGGAGCUUCUAGAAAAUGCAAUUGAAGGGGCUGAGAACGCUCGUUGUGAUUAUGAAGACGCACUAAACAUUGCAUUUGUCUAUGCGGACAUGGAGGAUUCGAUAUCAGCACGAAUGAUUUUGUCUGGAAUUCCACUAGAAGAUGCAUAUUUGCAGUCCAGGCUGGCUAUCAUGGCUCAACAAGAAAGAAAGGGAAUCAAGCAAGGAAAGCUACCAAUCAGUGAUUGCUUUUAUUUGAUGGGUACAACAGAUCCUACAGGGAAACUCAAAGCCAAUGAAGUUUGUGUGAUCCUUGACAAUGGACCAUAUUGUGGAAAUGUGCUUGUCUAUAAACAUCCUGGGUUACACUUUGGUGAUAUACAUGUCUUGACAUCAAGAUAUAUCGAGGAUAUACAUGACGUAGUAGGAUAUUCCAGAUAUGCUAUACUUUUCCCUACCUCUGGCCCACGAUCUUUGGCCGAUGAGAUGGCCAAUAGUGAUUUUGAUGGGGACAUGUAUUGGGUCUCAAUAAAUGAACAGUUAUUAAAGCAGUUCAAGCCUUCUAAACCAUGGGAAUGGGGCCAAGUAAAUAAACCAAUACAGGCCGAGAAAAAGUGUCUUCUGGAUUUAGAUGAACCCCUGCUCGAGAGGAGUUUGUUUCAUGAAUUCUUAAAAGCAAGAUUUGCACGCAGUAAUGCACUUGGCGCAGCAGCUGAUACUUGGUUAGUAUAUAUGGACCGACUGUUAACAGAUGGUGUUGAUGAAUAUGAAAGUAAUAUACUAGAAAAAAAGAUAAAGAAGUUGGUUGAUAUUUAUUAUUUGGCCCUGGACGCUCCAAAGGCCGGGACCAAGAUCAAUGUCCCUGCUGAGCUGACAGCAAAAAAGUAUCCACACUACAUGGAUCGAAAGGAAAGCUACCAUUCGACAUCCAUACUAGGAAAAAUUUAUGACGAAGCAGAAAAAAAGCAAUCUGAGAAAGUUGAACCAGUCGAGAUAUCGUUGGACCCGCGUUUCACGGCGAGAGCAGCAUCUUCAGGAUACAAGUACCUGAACCUCUGGACAGGCCGUUAUCAGGAGUACUUGAACGAGAGUGGGCCACUGAUUGACAAUCAAGACAAGGAAGAAACAGACCUGAAGUUCAAAGAACUCUACCUAAAAUACAAAUACAUGCUCUACGAUGCCGCUGAAUUCGAGCAAACGCAGAGGAACCUUGACGAAGUGUUCGACGAGGCAUGCACAAUCUACCAGAUCGUCUAUGAGAAAGCAGCGAGGUUUAAGAAGGCUGGGAGAUGCAACUUCGUGUGGAAUGUGGCGGGCCGUGCGCUGUGCCAUUUCUACGCUCUUGAGACCGAGGGCGACAAGGUGCUUGUCCCGUUGACGGUCGCUCGGAAUCUUGCCAAGAAGCGCCGAAGGUAG
rnacentral:rRNA from 1 species